UGGUUAUAAGGUUGCUCGGCCUAAUUCUAGUUCAUGUGGAUUUCUUAGAUCGGCAGCCAACAUUUGAUCUGAAUUUCACCACCAGCUCCCCCUUUUCCAAAUACCUCUAAUAAUCCUUUUUUUACAUAAAGAAACCAAUAUCCUCCAAAAAGAUAGAAUACGAAUUGUUCUUAUCAAUCAAUACAACCAUACUUGAUUGAUUUUCAUCAUAAUCCAACAUUACCAUUUGAAAUCUGCAAGACAAGCUGAAUCUGUUUAUUCAAAGAUUUGAAGUGGAUGCAUUAGGCUAACGGAAUCACUAAAUUCUUUUAUGGAAGUAAUUUAUUUGGUAAGAGUCAUCGUAUCAUUGGAGAAUAUGAGAGUACUAGCAGAUACAAGUGUAGUACAAAUUCAUCCCACCAAAAAGGGUUCUUGUAUGUUCAACUGGCACUCAAAGAAGUUGCUAGUACUGUAGUACAGGGUCCGUUUAGUACAAGUUGUACUGUAAACGUUAUUGGGGGGUUUAGCUUAAAUAGCUCAGAUGAGAGCAUAGAGCCAUAGACAUCAGUGUGGCAGGUUUCUUUGGGGGCAUUCCAACAGAGGCAAAACAAGAUGAGGUAACAGUCAAUAUUGAGAGAGAGUGAGAAAGAUGGGAGAGACAGACAAAGACAGGGAACAGGCUGAGCAUGGAUGGAUCUACCAACUGAUUCUGUUGUUUCUCCGCCCAUGCACUGCCUCUUCCCUGGCUCUGCCUCCUCCAUUUUUUUCCUCCCUCUUUUUUUAUUCAACUUUUUCACCUUAUCCCAUUUUGGAAUUAUUAUUAUGACUGUAAUUUAGAUCCAGGUUCAUGAUAGGUACCUUUUAACAAGGAACCUUAUUGUUUUUUCCACUAUCACCAUUGAUUGGGGGGAAAUGACACAAUAAGAAGACUUGAAUAAAUGCUGCAUUGCUUUAAGUGACAGACUGGAGAUAGAUAGAGGAGAGGAAGAAUAUCAGGGUUUACCACAAUCCAGCUUUUAAAUUCACCCCGUGGCAUGGCCACUAGGUUUCUGAUACAGGUUGUUUGGGCAAAGAAAGUUUUCUUCUAAGAAAAUGGAAUUUCACACCUGCCCCCCAGGACAACACCCUCAAUUACCAACUGUAAACUACGGUUGAAUGUUUUAUGUUUGGAACAAGUUUGUGUUCUUUGAUCUGGGUUUUGAAUAGAACUAGCUUCAUGCAAAUGGACAAGACUGCAACAACGAUGAUAUUAUUAUUUCCUCAGAUGUAAUGUUAUCUGCUUUUGCUUCCAUUUUGUCUUGUUAUCUCGUGAUUUCGGGAAAAAAAAACUAUCACUUUAAA